rnacentral:rRNA from 1 species
AAAUUGAAGAGUUUGAUCAUGGCUCAGAUUGAACGCUGGCGGCAGGCCUAACACAUGCAAGUCGAACGGUAACAGGAAGCAGCUUGCUGCUUCGCUGACGAGUGGCGGACGGGUGAGUAAUGUCUGGGAAACUGCCUGAUGGAGAGGGAUAACUACUGGAAACGGUAGCUAAUACCGCAUAAUGUCGCAAGACCAAAGAGGGGGACC